UACGUAGGGGGGCAAGCGUUGUCCGGAAUCAUUGGGCGUAAAGAGCGUGUAGGCGGCUCGAUAAGUCCGCUGUGAAAGUCCAGGGCUCAACCCUGGAAGGCCGGUGGAAACUGUCGGGCUAGAGUCCGGAAGAGGCGAGUGGAAUUCCCGGUGUAGCGGUGAAAUGCGCAGAUAUCGGGAGGAACACCAAUGGCGAAGGCAGCUCGCUGGGACGGUACUGACGCUGAGACGCGAAAGCGUGGGGAGCAAACAGG
rnacentral:rRNA from 1 species